UANGAAAAACACACACCACACCGCGACGGCCGAGGACACACCCCGCGCGCGGGAGGGGCGGGGCAACNCGGAGAGGGGGCGCGNANCACGGUCAUAUCACCCGGGUCGGGGUACAUCCCAGGGUAGACGUCGGAGAUGCCACCCCGCANGGUUGAAGUUAAGAAUUGUGUAGCCAGGAGCAAUUGCACUGGAAGAACCCAGGGUUCCACUCAGCAUUGUAGUGAGGCUAACCGAUUCACCCACGCCUACACCAGGUAGGCCACCCUGAGCGGAUGGCCCCACCACAAUGGAACUGGCACACGGUCCAUACACCUACUGGUGGCAGCAGUAGAGGAUAUUGCACCAUCGGCGAAGGCAUUAUGCAGCAACGCCGCGUGCGCGACGAAGGUCAUCGGAUCGUCAAGCGCUCCUCUGAGAGAUGAGAAAGUACAGUAUCUCAGGAAUAAGUCUCGGCUGAGCUACGUGCCAGCAGCCGCGGUAUUACGUAGGAGGCGAGCGUUAUCAGGAUUCACUGGGCGUAAAGCGCGUGCAGGUGCUUCGGUAAGUUGGGCGUGAAAUCUCCCGGCUCAACUGGGAGAGGUCGUUCCAUACUACCGGACUUGAGAGCAGAAGAGGAAGAUGGUAUUCCCGGUGUAGUGGUGAAAUGCGUAGAUAUCGGGAGGCACACCAGUGGCGAAGGCGAUCUUCUGGUCUGUUUCUGACACUCAGACGCGACAGCCUAGGGUAGUAAACGGGAUUAGAGACCCCGGUAAUCCUAGCCGUAAACGAUGUGCAACUUGGCGUUGGUGGGUUAAACUCCAUCAGUGCACGAAGCAAACGCGAUAAGUUCACCGACCUGGGUGAUCUACGCGCCGUCAAGGUUUAAAACUCUAAAGGUAAUUGACGGGGGCCCGCACAAGCAGCGGAGUCGUGUGGUUUAAUUCGAUGCUACACGAAGAACCUUACCCAGGCUUGACAUACAGGUGGUAGUAGAUCUCGAAAGGUGACCGACCCGUCAAGGGAGCCUGAACAGGUGUUGCAUGUGUCUGUCGUCAGCU
rnacentral:rRNA from 1 species